rnacentral:lncRNA from 1 species
CAUGCCCGGGGUGUUUACUGGGAUCUGGUUAUGUAGACACCACCUGCCUAGCACGCACCAAAAUUCCAGACUUUCAGGAAAACAGGUGCCUGUGCCACAUUAUUUGCACGGAGAGACUGUGUCCAGUGAACGGUUCUGAUCAGUAAACUGUUGACUAGGAACAUCCCGAGAGCCAAGUUCCCAGAUGCCAGCCAAGGGCCAUCUGACCUGUUUUGAAUCUCAAUUUCCUGAUACAGAAAACAAAGGAUUGUCAGCUGACCUCUGUCCUGUGUGCCCAGUGGCCCCAGGUGACGUGUCUUCAAGAAGAGGCUGAGCUGCGGUGCUUGUAAGGGUCUCAUUCUGUCACCCAGGCUGGAGUGCAGUGGUGCAAUGAUGGCUCACUGCAGCCUCGACCUGGGCUCAAGUGAUCCUCCACCUCAGCUUCCUGAGUAGCUGGGACCACAGAGUCAUGUGCUGUUCCUGGGGCUUGGAUGAUGUAGGGGAAGCAAGGUGAAAGUGGUAUCCCGUGGUUCCACGUUCUGUCCUGCUGUGGGGCUGUCCCUCACAUGCUUUCAGUGGCUGUUGCAGAGGAAGAGCCUCCGGAAAUCUGCGUCUCAGCCUUAGAUCCAAGGACAGUCCAAGGAAGUCCUAAGACCAUGGAGUUGGUGAUCUGGGAUCUGGGUUUGCUGAUAUUUCUCACCGUGAAUCUCUUGGUGGUGUUUGUGGGCACGAGAGGGGCAGAGAAUGGAGAGUGAGGCUACCACAUGAAGCGUCACCAGAGCUGCUCCCUGCUGCCUGCUCAGAGCACCCCGGAUCCACUGUUCAAUCUGCACAAGAUUCGGGGUCCAGACAUGGGAGACUUCAGCUGCCUCAGAGGACCGUGGACAGGGAAGGCCAGCCUCGCAUCCCUCUGUCCAUGCCUGGAAUGACUUUAAUAACCAAGAGUUUUAUUUUUGAAUUUGUAGCUGUCGUUCACUUUUUACCCACCCAUUCAAUAAACCUUACAGAAUUGCU